UAGCAGCAUUAGAAUGGACAUUACAAUUUGGGCAUCAUUGUGGGGUAAUCUGUUCAUGGUGAUUACCAGGGGAAGCCGUCUCAUUCCAAGAUGACAUUUUGUGUUCAUAGAGUUUUUCACCAAAUUUGUUCAUUUAUAGACCCAGUAUGGCUUAGGAGAUUGAGUGGCCUCUAGCUAAAAGAUAGUAAAAAACAGUUCUAGAUUCUGAGUCGUUCUUCAUCCUACAUAGACUUAAAUUUGACAUCCUACAUAGGAGGCUGUAAUCUUGCACCAGAAUUUGAUUAUAUCAACACUCACCCAUCUUUUUAAAGCUUUUCUUUUGUCAUUUUCACUGCAGAAACUGCCCCCAGGCUUGUGGACUUUCUGUUCAUCUCUGUAUCCUGCCACCACCCCCCCCCCCCCAACGCUUGAAAAGAGCCCGGGAAUGUUCAAUAUACAAUGAAAGCAUUCUUGUCAUUUAUAGAGAUCAAUAGGGACUGGCACAGAUCCAGGGAAAAACACUAUAAGAUGGACAGGUCAGAGGUCAUGGAAAAAAUAGAAUUUGUCAGGGUAAAAGAGUAUCCCAGUGAAAGAAGCUGCAGGCUUUUGUGUUGAGAUUAGCAAUGGUUAGCUUGACUGUGAAUUUUCUUCGAGGUAUCUACUGCCAUUGAUGUUUUUGAUCUGUUCUCAUGUAACAUCAGUGCUGGAACAUGUAUGCUCCUUACAAAGUCUCAGACAGUAACCCUUCUCCACAGAAUGCCAGAUUGUCUUUGAAUAAGCAGAAACAAACUCUUUGUCCUUUGGAAAAUCCCACAUUUCAAAAUCUGGUAUUUUUUGGUCAUGUAUUUGGUUCAUCCAAGGGAAACAAGCAAUUUGUUGGUAAGGAAAUAAAAGCAAGUGAAAGUGGAGUAGAAGAGAUGAUGGUGACAUUUUAUGGGCUAUCAUUGGGGUCAAUGGAACCAGUACUAGGACUAGCGAGUAUUAUCCUAGGACAGGGGUUUGAAUUCUCUGAUGUAAAGGAUGAAAGAUACCACAAGAAAAUGACAAACUUGCUUUGAUUUUCCUUUGCAAAAAUGUACUUGUAGCAAACAGUUUUCCUGAUUUCCUUUCUCAAAAAUCAAUUUUAAACAUAUUUGAAACUACUAGUCAAGUGUACCCCAUGCUGGGGUACUAAAAUAUCAUUGUCUAUGUCUUGGUUUGACAGAAGUAAGGAAGGUGUUUCUGACCACAGCUACGUCUCUUGCAGCAAAAAAUAAGUCAUCAAAAUCUUGAAUUCUCUUUUAUCUUUUCAAAAUAUUUUACUCUCAUCUCAUAUACUGAACUCACCUAUCGUUAUUGGUUUUACUUAGUACAGGAAAAUAGUCAGUUUUUAGAAAAAGAUGAAUAACUGUGGUCAUAGUUGCUUAACCUUUUUUUACAUUUCAAAUGGCAUAUGCCAAAUUAAAUAUUUUGUUUCUCUUGUCAUUCAGUCACUAAUUGAGUCAUUUAAAUAAUGUAGCUUGUCUGCCAAAAAAAGUCUAUUAAAUUACUUAUUUUAUUCACUGAGCAGUUAUUAUGUAUCACUAAGCCAUAAGCCUGACUUGUAUUUUAAGUGUUUCUUUGAGAAAUUUCAGUAAUGACAAAGGAUUUAAUCUUUCUAAGAGUCCAGACUACUUUCAUAUAGUUAUUACACUUCACCAAACCUAUGCAAAGUAACUGGCAUAUGAAGUUUUAUUAGCCAAAUGCAAACCUAUUCAAAGUUGGUUCAAAGUGUGGUCAAAGAGCAAAAUGACAAAAAGAGUUGGUCAAUGAUUUUCUCUAAAUGCUACUCUUGACUAGACAAAAUUCCUUCAUUUUACCCCUGAAUAUCUCCUAUUGAAGCCAGAUUCUACAUUCCUGAUGUGCAAAUACAAAAGAUUAGGAAUUACUCUUCGGGCAGUAGUAUUCCAUCCCUUUCCCUACCUGGGAUUCUUGGUAUGGCACUAGACCAUAUGUUACACCUUAGAAUACAUAAAAUUAUGGGUACAAUAGGGGUGGAAUAGACCUCUGAGUUCAUUACUUUUGAAUUUACCUGAAGAGGAUCUCCUCUUCAUUAUCCCUUACAUUAAUCUUUUAAUGUCUGCUUAAAGAAAUUCUGGAAUAUGCAAUUCAUUAUCUAUCAUGGUAGCCCAUUUCACUUUCCUUCAGACCUAAUCAUUACAGGAAGUUGUGCCUUAUGUAAUGGGAGCAGGGGGCUGAACAGUGAGGUCCCAGUCCUAAGGGUAUAUUCAGAUUCACUUUGGUUCCAGUCUGCUUUGUGGGAUUUUGGAGAGACUAUUUCUCUCCACAAUUGACUGAAGGGUUCAAUACUCUGUAAUGAUGAAAAGUUUUUUAAUUAGCUGAGGAACUGGAAGGGCUAGCAACUCAUGGAACUGAAUUCAUAAAAAAAAAAAAGAUGAAGAUCUCUUACUCUUUUCCUUCCUGGCCGCAAGUGAGACAAGAACUCUUUUGAACCACUGGAUGGGAGGAUAGUUGCUCUAUCUUCCAGUUGGUCACAGGUGUCCUACCUCUGUUUCUUUUGUAUUCAAUCUUCUCUGAUACAGACAACUGCGAAUCCAGACAGAAUUGACAAGGAUGUGAUGUUGUGAAUUGUGAAAGAUUAGAAUAGCCAUCAUAAUAUCUUUUGGCAACCAGAAUUGAUGGCAACCUAAGGAGGUAGUAGUGGCUGACUACAUAAAGAACCUGUUCAGGAAGAGAUAGAAAGAUAAUUAACAAAGGACAGAGGCAACCUAAGGCAUCAUUAUGAUUCAUGGCAAAGAAAAGUGCUGACUAUGGAUUCUAGAACGAAUCCAAGGAUUCUUGGAAUCUUGCAGAAAGUUUAAUAAGAACCUAAUGUGAACCCAAUGAGAACUUCAAGAAGGGAGAAAAGGAUUUGCAGGACUAGGAUUCAGGAGGAUACCUUGCUGCUUUGAUGGAUUUCCUUGCUAUGUGUGUAGCAGCUGGUGGAGUUGUCCGGUGUGUUCUCCACAAGAAUUACUUCCUUGAAUGAUGGUUAGGAUUCAGCAGAAGGCAGGACCAGUGGUCUGGAGGGGAGGAGUUCUACUACUCCCAGGGCUUUUGUGUUCAGCUCUCUGUUUAGUGGCAUUUUGUAAGCAGUUCUCCAAAAUGAUUUCUGUCCUCAUUGAGCCUACAACAGCUAGGCAGGAAGAAGACGAUCGGGUGGGUUUUUUCCUUGGGGGAAGGGGGGGAUGGAUAUUGUUAUUCCCAAGGUUCUUGUGCUCAGGGUUCUGGGAAGACCCUGUCUCCAUUUGUAUCUGAAGGAGAUGGUGGUGGUCAAGAUGGUAGUAGUAGUUUGACAGACUUGGUAUACGCUGUCUCCCAUCUCACCCUCAGGGAAUCCUGUGAUUUCAAUUAGGCUAGCUUGCCUGUGAGUGUAAGUCUGAUGGCAUAACCAAGCACUGUAGCAAUAAUAAAACUAACAGCCCCUAUGUUCUAUCUAGUACCAGCAUCUACUCAUGAAAUAGGGAGGGAAUGGAAGACGGAGAUGGUCUUUCAGCAAAUGGUACUUUAACUGGUUAUCAAGAGAAUAUGGGGGUGGGGGACCACAGACAUAGAAGGUGACCUUUGUGGAAGAGCCAACAGCAACACUACAGGGCUGCGCUCCCAACUGGAAGCCUAAAAGUGAAGCAAAUGGUGAGUGAAUGGCACUGACAAGGAGCCCUGAAGAAAGAAAACCUCCCUUUUAGGUCCAUGGGAAAUUUGUGUGGUGGAAUUGGAAGGGUCAUGCGGUCUACUGGCCCCAAAUGCCUAAUUAUUUCUUAUUUUUUCUCUUGAUAAAGAAAGAUUGUAUUGAUGUCCUUGUACUUUUAGUCUCCUAUGCCUAGAGUACAUGCUCUGGCUGUCUACCAUGCUUGGUAUAUUCCCUCUCCUUUCUUCUACCUCCUAGAUUCCCUGGCUUCCUUUAAAACUUAGAUCAGGAGGGAGCUGGGUGGCUCAGUGGAUUGAGAGCCAGGCCCAGAGAUGGGAGGUCUCAGACACUUCCCAGCUGAGUGACCCUGGGCAAGUCACUUGAUCCCCAUUGUCUACCCCUUACCACUCUUCUGCCUUGGAACCAAUAUACAGUAUUGAUUCUAAGAUGGAAGGUAAGGUUAAAAAAAGACAACUUAGAUCAAAUCCCACCUUUUUCUGUAGGACUUUCCCCCUUCUCCAAGUUACUAAGAUCCUUCCUAUGAGAUUACCUUCUAUUUACACUGUAUACAUCUCAUAGGUACAAUGUUAGCUAUAUUUGUCUCCCUAUUAUUAUGAGUUCCUUGAGGGGGAGACCAUGCUUUUGACCCUCUUUCUAUCCCCAGUGAUUCACACAUAUGAAUCACUUGAUAAGUUUGCUUGUGUAUUUAUUGAUGGUUAUAAGUCCCUUUUGAAGAAGGAUAGUUCCUUUGCAUUUGUAUUACUAGGACCUAACACACAGAAUCUGGCACACAGUAGGUGCUUAACAAAUGUUUGUUAAUGUCUCAACACUAAAUUUGCCAGUGUCUUUCCUAGUAUGAUGGUAAAAGUUUAAUUAAAAGAUUUUUUUGAAUUUCCUUGAUGGAAGCCUGAGCCAAGAGAAUUUUGCUAUUUUUUUCUUCCCUAAACCAAGGACCCUUUGUACUCCGAGUGUCUCUGACAAGAGUUAUAUUAGAAUAAUGGCUAAUCUACUUAGCCUGGCAUUUGGGACAUGACAAAAUCUCCCCUUACCUACCUUUAAUUUCUAUUAUGUCUGCCUUGGACUUAUCUCUAUUCAAGAUUAUCUUGUCUCCACAUUGUAACAUGUGCAAUGCACAUUGCCUUCUCUUAUCCUUUCCUUAUACUAUUUCCUUUGUUUGAAAUGCCUUCUUCCAUUCCUUUUGAUAUAAUUUCUACCCUUCCUUCAAGGGCCACUUCAAUUCCCACUUUUUUGGUCCCUUCUUCAACCACAAUACCUUUAGUAAUUUUUCCUUCUUCUGAAUACCAGUGAUAUUUUGGGUAAAAGGAUCUCUAAUUUAAAAUGUUACCUAGGCUACUGGAGUAGGUGGAGAGCAGAGAGGAAUGGAAGCAGGGGAAAUAUUUUCUUGUAUGUGGAAAAGGCAGUAUUUAUUUGUUUUCUACUAUAGCAAGAAGGGGAAAACUAGAGUCUCAGAUUCAUUUAAGUAUAAAAAGACCUAGCAGGAUUUUUUUUUUUAGUCAUCUUUCUCAGCCACCAAAUUUUCCAGCUAAGUACAUUGAAAUAAAGGAAGUAAUAUUAUUUUGAUGUAUGUGUGGAUUAUCUUUUGUGGUGUAUAUUCUAUUGUGCAUUCUGUAGCGGUCUUUUAUCUGCCAAAGGUUUCAUAUGCUUUACUCCUUUUCUUUUUCUUUUUCUCAUUUUCCAAUUUUUUUACACUUUAGCUUGGGUGAGGCAUAGAUGUAUGCUAAUUAUGUAAUAUUCACAAUUUUAAGUGGAAAUGUUAAAAUGAUCAUUUUCCUUCCAUGCCAGCUAUGAUCAUAUUUUAGAACCUUUUGUACUCACACAAAAAAGGUAGUCUGUUUGUUGAUAUUUGAAGUAAUUGCCUAGGGACGGCAUAGGUUUUUAGGGACCAGUUUUUCAGGGUUGAGGAAGAGAGAACUAGAGGUCAGUUUAUUGGUUUUUCCUCGGAAGACUGGGAAGGAUGGAAGAAUUCUUUGGGUAAACAUACAUUUUCUCUAUACUUUCUCUUAACAUUUACCUUUCUCUCUACCUCUCAAAGACAGAUGAAAUGGAAAUCUGGAAACAUGGACUGAAUCAAAGAAGUGACAGAAAGAUUACAUAUAUCUGGAUGCCAACAUAUAUGAGUAUGCAUACUCUGUGCCAACACAUACAAACACACACUCAGAAUGACUAUGAAAUCUUGGGAUUCUCACAAAUUUAAGCCCGAGAUCACCAAUAUCAUUAAACUGCAGUCAGGUUCUUCCUCAUUAUGGUGAUCACAGUCAUUUUUUUGAGAGAGAAAUAGUUGUUUGGAUGCUACUGGCAAGUUUAUUCUUCUAGUUGAUUCAGGGAGCAGAGAGGGGAUUCAAAGCUUUGUACAUUUUUUGAUAACAUCUUAUAGCUGCUAACACAAAAUCUACCUUCAUCGCAUCACUUCAUCUUCCUUAGUCUGUUUCUUCAGCUGUAAAAUGAGGGGAUUGAACUAAGGGUUGUGAUAUGCUUUAUUUUAACCUAGGAGUAGAACCACAGAAUUUCAGAGGCCUCAAUGGCCACCUAAUCUAACUUACUCCUGAAAGAAUCCUUGCAAUAACAAAUCUAACAAGUGAUUACCUCGUUUCUGCUUAGAGAUUCCUAGUGAAGGUGAAUCUAUUGCUUCCUGGGAUAGUCCAUUCCACUUUAGAGCAGCCCUGAAAGUUCAGAAGAUUUUCCUAAUGUGAAGUGUUAAUUGCCUCCUUUCAAUUUCUGCUCUUUGCUCUUGCUUUUGUCGUAUGGGAUUAAACAGGGGAAAAAAAUCUAAUCCUUCUACAUGAUACACCUUCAAAAACAUAAAGAUAACUAUUAUGGUCCCUUGGGCUUUCUCUGCUCCAGGAUGAUUGUCCUCAUAUAGCUGAUUUUUAUUCCAUAGAUUUGAGGUCCUUUACCAUUCUCGUUGCCCCCUUGUGGAUGCUUUCCAAUUCAUCAAUCCUUCUUAAAUGCUGGCAUAAACACAUGAAUACAGCACUACAGACAUGGUCUGGUGAGGCCAGAGUACAAAGGGAUUAUCACUUUUUUAUUCCUGAAAUUUAUUCCAUUCUUAGUAAAACCCAAGACUGAAUUGCUUUUUUGGGGAGGGCUGCCACAUCACAUUACUGACAUACUGAGCUUGCAUCCACUUAAAUCCCCAGCUUUUUUUUUCAGACAAACUGCUAACACUACCUAUAAGGUAGCUGGUGGUGCAGUGGAUAAAGUACUAGUCCUGGAGUCAGGAAGCUGUGAGUUCAAAUCCAGCCUCAGCAAUUUACUGGCUGUGUGACCCUGGGCAAACUCCUUAACCUCUUUCAUCUUAGUUUUCUUCACUAUAAAAUGGAGAUAAAAGUAAUUCUUACCUUCCAGGAUUGUUGUGAGGAUCCCAAAUGAAGUAAUAUUGUAAAAAAAAAAAAAAGCCCCUUAGCACAAUGCCUGGCAUAUAAUAGGCACUAUAUACUUAUUCCUUCCCUUCCCUUCUGUUCUAUAUAUACUCUUUCCUAUACUCACGAAGCUGAUUUUUUUUAAACUCAAGUGUAAGAUUUUUAUAUUUUACCUAUUUAAUUUCAUUUUAUUAAAUGCAACCCAAUGCUCUAGCCUUUAGGAUCCUGCCUGGGUUCUCCAUUGUACUAGCUAGCUCUCACAGCUUCGUGUCAUCUAUAGGUUGGUCUCAGUAAAUAAGAGAAAUUUUGCCCAAGUUAAAAGCACUAAAAUGAGCAGAAUUCAUGGCAUUGGUCACAGUAUUGUUCGUGCAUCCCAGUUCCUGCCAAGCAAAAACACCUUGUUAUUGCUACCUAGACCAAGCCAAUUCAAUGUCACAUUAUUAUUUUUUCACUUAAGAAUGCUUCAGCUACAGAUCUAUCAUAUCACUUUUACACUGGUGAGUUUUCCCAUAUCCAUCAGAAUAAGAAAAUCCAUCAAGCUUUUGACUACUUUUUCCUCUGCAAGUAACUGAUCUUUGAGAGAAUGACAUGUAAUAUAGACUUUGCCAUUCGCAAGGCAUUGGAAAAACUGCAUCUGAAAUAAAAUCAAUACAUCGUGCAGUAGUUUAUUUACAUUUUAAAGUGCUGAAUGGCAAAGCAAUUCAUCAGCUAAAGAAUCUGAAGCCAAAUAUAUUUUGUAGGCUGUGACACAAAGUGAAAACUGGACCAUAAAAGAAAUAUGAGUACAUCUUACCUUCAUGAUACAUAUGCUCAUUUCAGUUAAUAGAAAUGUCCAAAAUCAUACUAAUAGAGGGAUCUGAAUCCAUGAAAAGCAAGGAAAUGUAGCAGUUGGGGUUAGUAUUGUUGGAUUUGGGGUUUUUUAUGCUGUUUGAAGAUGCAGGAAGCAGAAUUUUGUGGUAAAAAUAUCCACCCUAACUUCCUUCCAGUUGACCCCCAAUCAAAUAAAGACAGGAUGAGGGUGCUUGCAUGCUGGCAAAGAAAGAAGGCUAUUGUAUUUUCUCAAAUCAUAAUAAAGUGGAUUUUCUUGCCUUGAGACAUUGAAAGAAUAUUGGUGUUACGGGGAAAAGAAUAUUAACAUUGGAAUCAGAGGGUCUGAAUUCAAAUUUUACUUCUAAUGCUUACUACUCACGAAACCUGGGUCAAGUCGAAGCCUCUUUUCAGCUUUCUGUAACCAGAGGGGAUGGAACUAGAAGGUCUCUGUCACUCUUUAUAGCUCUUGGGCUGUAAUCCUGUCAUGUCAUAUCUUUCUUUGAAUUUCUAGUUGAAUAAAAUCCACAUGUGAGAAGGACAAAAAAAAAUCAUUGAGUGUAGAAAAAAAUAAUCAUUUUAAUUUUCUAAGCCAACCAACAGCAUUUCCACAAAAUAAAUCCAGAACCGAUCAUUUAAAAUACAAGAAGAUAGGGAGAAGUCUCAAGUACAAUAAGGCCUGGGGCUUCAAACAGAAAUCCAGUAUCAAUACUUUUAAAAUGUAGAUGUUGCCAAAGGAAAGUAAUAAAUGCUGGAGGGGAUGUGGCAAAACUGGGACAUUAAUGAAUUGCUGGUGGAGUUGUGAAUUGAUCCAACCAUUCUGGAGGGCAAUUUGGAAUUAUGCCCAAAUGGCGCUAAAAGACUUUCUGCCCUUUGAUCCAGCCAUAGCACUGCUGGGUUUGUACCCCAAAGAGAUAAUAAGGAAAAAUACUUGUACAAGAAUAUUCAUAGCUGCACUCUUUGUGGUGGCCAAAAAUUGGAAAAUGAGGGGAUGCCCUUCAAAUGGGGAAUGGCUGAACAAAUUGUGGUAUCUGUUGGUGAUGGAAUACUAUUGUGCUCAAAGGAAUAACAAACUGGAGGAAUUCCAGGGAGACUGGAACAACUUCCAGGAAUUUAUACAGAGCGAGAGGUGUAGAACCAGGAGAACAUUGUACACAGAGACGGAUACACUUUGGUACAAGCAAAUGUAAUGGACUUCUCUACUAGCAGCAAUGCAAUGAUCCAGAACAAUUAAGAGGGAUCUAUGAGAAAGAACACUAUCCAUAUCCAGAAAAAGAACUGUGGGAGCAGAAACACAGAAGAAAAACAACUACUUGAUCACAUGGGUUGAUGGGGAUAUGGUUGGGGAUGUAGACUCUAAAUGAUCAUCCUAGUGUAAAUAUUAAUAAUAUGGAAAUAGAUCUUGAUCAAUGACACAUGUAAAACCCAGUGGAAUUGCAUGUCCACUAUGGGAGGGGGUUGGGGGAGAGGAGGGAAAGAACAUGAAUCUUGUAAUCAAGGAAAAAUGUUCUAAAUUAACUAAUUAAAUAAAAUUUUCUUAAGAUAAAAAAAUUAUAAAAUGCAGAUGUCAGUCAAGGAACAAUGACUGCUGAGACCAAGGGAGGUAUUGCUUUCCUUUGGAACAAUUUUGAUAUACAUACCACUGGGAGGAAAGCUGGCUCCAUGUGUUCCCGUGGUGUCCUGUGUAAAAGAAUACUAGCUAAAGUAGGGAGUCCCAUUGGGUGCUGAGCAGACUAAGCCCAUUCAGUGUCUGACUGAGGAGAACUGCCAGCCGGCUGCUUCAAAUGCCUAAAAAACACUUCUAUGGAGCGGAUCUGAUUUUCUCAUUCUCUAGUUCUUCAUGUCUCUUAAGAUGACCUUGUCUAAUGUUCUGUGUUGUGUUAGCCAAAUGAUGGGAUGGAGAGCAUUUGACCUAUGGUGAGGGAGACCCACGUGCAAAUUCAGCCUCUGGUGUUCACUGAUUGUGAGGAUUUUCAGCAUGUCACUUGAUCUUGCUCAGGCACAAUUUCCUCAUCUGUAAUAAUAGGGCUGAGAAUAACACCUGCCUUACAGGAUUGUUUUGAGAUUCAAGUGAGUUAAUAUAUGUAAAGUGCUUUGGAAACCUUAAAAUAUUAUAUAAAUACUUAUUAUUAUUGUCAUUUUCCAUUAUUAUUAUUAUUAUUAUUAUUAUUAUUAUUUCUUAAACCAACAUGAUAGAGAUUCUAUCAUAUAUAGAUCAUGCUACAUAACUGAAAGGAGGAAUCAAUUUUUGGCCAAAACAAUGAUGGCCUUCUUCUUUGAAAUUGAUACAGUACCUGGAAACUUAUGGCUCUAUAAUAUUUAAAAUAAAAACUUAGUAGUUUAAAUAUCACAGUUUUCAGUGAUAGUCGUUAAUUGAUUUAUUCUGCAUGUGGUUUGUUACUUCUAGUAUUUUCACAUUGUGUUCCUUAUAGUAAUACUUCUAGUAUUGAGAAAUAUUUCUAGUAUUUUUGCAUUAUGCUCCUUAUGGUAUAGGCCUGUGUUCAUAAAUUCAGUUCAGUGUCAUAUGAAGGUAUGAAAUGUUAAUAGACUUAGCUAAGCUCUAUAAACUCUAAUUACUUCAUAUUAUAUUGAUUCAUGGCAUAGUUGGUAGACCUGGUGGUCUAGAAAAAGAAAAAUUUGGGUUUAAAUGUUGCCCUCGACACUUAGUAGUUGUAUGAGUGGGGGGCUGUCAACCUCUGUAUGUCUAAGUCUACUUCUUAACCUAGCUACUUCCUAAUCAUGGUUGGCUUGUAGCCUUUUAGUGGAGGAAAUUCCCAUACUAGGAUACUGAUGAAAUCAUAGAACCACUGUAGAUUCUCAUGUAUACAUUCAUAGGUUGUUUAAUGUGGCAUCACCUUAGAGUUCAUAUGGCUUACCCAAGAUGACAUAGCCAUUGAGUGGCAGGCCAGAAUUUCAAUCUAGCAUUCUCUUUCUUUUUUCCACUGUUUUUGGUGUCAUACAAUGGUGUCUGUAUUGGUCAUUGUUGUAAGAGCAAAUUCAUACAUAACAAAAACCCCAAAAUUAAACCAAAGAUAUAUUCACUGAUGUGAAAGAUGACUCCAACAGUUCUUUGCCUGGAGGUUGGUUAUUCCCUAUCAUAAGUCUUUCAGGGUUGUCCCUGAUCAUUAGCAUUUUUAUUCAAAAUAUAAAUAAAAAAAUAAAAAUAAAAUAAAAAAAUAAAAAAAAUAAAAAAUAAAUAAAAAGCACACUUUCCUGGUCCUUCUAUCUUUCUGUUACUUUUUUGUGCCCUUUACUUACUCCAUUUAUCCUCUAAAUGAAGGCAUUGGCUAAGACUCUGGCCUUGUCCUUCCCUUUUCUUUCUACAUUUUCUCCUCUAGAAAUUUUUUUGCCCAUCUGUCACCUCUGAUUACCUUAUUUUUUAAUAUAGACCCUGACCUAAAAACUUUCCUGGGCACCCAAAUUGUAUUCCCAAAUACAUGGUAGAUAUCUUUACCUAGAUCACUUGGUAAUACUUCAAAAAAGUGACUCACUCUCCUUUUCAGAACACUUGUUCCUCCUUUUUAUUUUGCUGAUAUCAUCAUGACUCUACCAGUCACUUAUGCAUUGAACCUGGAAGUAAUAAAAAAAAAAAAAACCCUCUCUCAUGUACCCACCCCAACCAGUUGCUAAUCUUUUUUGUGUUUUAAAGUUGUACUUUGUUUCAAUUUUUUCUAAUUAAUUAAUUAAUUGGUCACAUUAAAUUCAUAGGUAUCUCCCUUUUUCCUCUCCCCACACUAGAGAAGCAUCAAUAAUCAAAAGAUAUAUUUAAUAUCUAAAACAAUUCCUUGCUUAUUUCUACGUAUUGAUUCUUUCUCUGGAGAUGGAUAUAAACAAGCUAUUCUUCAAAGAAUUUAAAUUUAAUUUAAAAUUAAAUUUCUAAUCUUGUAGAUUAUACUGUACCCCCAGCUAUGUUUCUACUAGACAACUCUGAUCAUGUCACUUUCUUGUUCAGAAAUCUUUAGUGGUUCCUUGUUGUCCCUAGGACCAAAUCAAGUUUCCUCAGGUCAUCUUUCAAGGCCUUCCAUAAUAAUAUCCUAGCCUAUCUGUCUUCAUCAUCUACUAUUCUCUAUGUAGGGCAGUUAAGUGGCUCAAUGGAUAGAGUGCCAGACCUGGAGUCAGGAAAGACUCCUCUUUGUGAGUUCAAAUUGGUCUUAAAUAAUUUUUAGCUGUGGGACCCUGGGCAAGCCACUUAACCCUUAUUGGCCUCAGUUUUCUCAUCUGUAAAAUGAUCUGGAGAAGGAAAUGGCAGGUUUAUCCACUCUUUCUGCCAAGAAAAUUCCAAAAGGAGUAAUAAGAUGUCAGAAAAAAGCAACUGAACAAAAACCUUCCUACACAUAAUGAUUUUAUUCCAACCAAGUUAAUUUAUUGUCUCUGUGCCCUUGUUUAUGCUUUUCCUUCUGCCUGAAGUGCCUCUCCUUUACUAUCUCUGCCAGAAUCCCAUCCAUCCUUUCUUUGGGUUCUCUUUUAUUCACUCCAUUGAAUCACAAGAUCUAGGGCUACAGGAGACACUAUCAGCCAAUUGGUCUAAUCUCUUCAUUUUACAAAUAAAGAAACUGAAUCCUCAGGAGGUGAGGUGACUUGCUCAUGGUCAUAAAAGGAGGAAGUUUCAGUUGAUCUUGACUCAAAAUUCAGCACUCUUACACUAAUCCAUGAUGUCUGUUUAUUAGAUGAUGAGGUUUUUAGAAAGUUCUAAUUAUAAAUUUCUGAUUCAGAGACAAAGUUUAUGGAUCACUAUUAUUCCCACUCCAGCUUUUCACUGUCCCACACCCAAUAAAUGUUUAACUAUCAUUAUGCAUAAGAAGGUCAUUUGAAUGAUUUGUGGAUAAUUAGAAAGGUCCAUUUGCAAAAAUUUGGGGGAUGGGGGUAUAGGAAAAGUAAAUAUACCAUUAGAGUGAAUGAUUUUUGCUCUUCAAUUAUUUUCUUUUAUCUUUGACAUUUCCUGAUUUUCUUUGGGGCCUUCUUGGCAAAGAUAAGAGUGGAUUGUUACUUUCCUUCCCCAGAUCAUUUACAAAUGAGGAGACUGAGGCCAAGAGGGUUAAGUGACUUGUCCAGGGUCACACAGCUAGUAUGUGUCUGAGGCCAGAUUUAAACUCUGGAAGAUGAGUUAUUUUCACUCUAGGUUCAGCACUUAUCCACUUUGUCAUCUAGCUGCUUAGAAUGAAGGACAGCACUGUCAUUUUCUAAUUCUUCAUUCUUAAAGUUGGUGUUUAAGGUGUGAUGUAGUAGAUUGGCCUCUGAGAUAGAAUGACCAAGGUUCAAGUGCUGCCACUGAAACAUACUGACUGUGUGACCCUGGACAAGUCAUUUAACCAUCUAGAGACACAAACUAUUCCCCAAGACACUAUGUUACAGAGAACAUGCCAAUCUGCAUUUUCUACACCAGUGAAAUCAUCCAGUUUGACCAUUUUGGAUUAUUGUCACUUCUGACAUUUCAUUAAAACAAGUAUAAUAAGGAGAUGAGAGUGAGAUGAAAAGCAAUUAUAAAAGAAUAAGAAAGCCAUCAAUUUUAAGAUGCUACAUUUAACCAUAUAUAUAAUGUAUACUUCUAUUUUUUAAUUAAUCAUUUAUAGGAUUUUCAUUAUGCUGUUUAGUUGUUUCAGUUGUGCCUCACUCUUUGUGACCCCAUUUUGGAGUUUUCUUGAGAGAGAGAUAAUAGAGUAGUUUGUCUUUUCUUUUUCCAGCUGAUUUCGUAGAUGAGAAAUUGAGGCAAACAGGGUUAAGUAAUUUGCUCAGGUAUACACAGAUUCAUCUUCCUGUUUUCAUGCCCAGUGCUCUAUCUACUGUGCCACCUAGCUGUCCCAUUUAUAGAAUACUCAUAAAUUUAACAAUAUACAAGAACUGAAACAUGAUAGAUGUGAUUUUUACUGAUUAAAAUAUUUGAAUUUGGUUUUUUAAAAUUGUAACUAAAGGUAAGACGUUACCUAAAUUCAGUAUUUUUUUAAAGCAAGGUCCAAAGAUUUCGUAUUCUUUCAAAUUGCCCUCAGCUUUGGGGAUCUUGUGGAUUCCUUGUUUCAUUUUAGUCUACUUUGUCUCAGGCCCAUGUUUUACUAUCUUAUAAGUUAGGUGACUAUGAACUGUGAUUUUUCAGUUGUGAUUUUAAAAUUAAAUUACCCUUAAUAUCCAUGAAUAUUUUAGUUUGUAGAUAAAAGUGGCUAAACUGUUUUUCUUAAAAAAAUUUUAUAUUUUAAUUUCUCACUACAUCUACCAUGUCAUAAGUUACCAUAAGUCUAAUGGUAACCAUUCUGUUCCUUUCACUUUUGUCUUUCUAAAUAAGUGAGAUUUUGCUAAAUUUUCUAAGAAAGAACUGCUUUUCAUGUAACCUCUCAUGAAAUGUUUGCACAUGCUGUUUGUUUACAGAAGUAUUCAGACUGAUUGACACACAGUGGUUGAUGACACUGACUUGAGGCAACAAUGACGCUGUCUCACUUCCUAGAAUUUGCCACUGACAACAGAAUGAAGUUCUCACUGUUCUGAAGCCAAGAUAUGUAGACGGUUAGGCAAAAGUCUUCUAUUUUCAACAAUGGGUCCUGUGUGAAAGAUCUGGUGUCUUCUCUUCUAGCUAUUUAUGCCCAGGCUUUACCACUUGUCCUCAUUGUAGGCAACUGCAUGUUUUUCCUUUUUGAAAAUAUAUCGGCUGUAAGAAUCAGCAAUUCAUGGAAGCCCCUAUAACUCCGGAUGCUGCCACCUACCUGAAAUUUUAGUUUGCAGGGCCAGAAUGAGAAGCUGAUAUGUAUUUUGAAAGGAGCCCUUCUUCAAAUAGCCAUGGAUAAAUAAUUGAAAUUGUGAGUUGGGAAGAAUUUUAAGGUCAUCUCAUCCAACUCCCCAAUUUUACAGAUUAGGAGUGGGAGGUUUAUAGAGUUUAGGAGAUUUUCUCAAGGUCAAAUCAGUGACAGAGCCAGAAUUAAGACACAGGUGUGUUGAUGAUCAGUCUACGGUUCUUUUGAGAUACAGCAAUGCUUAAAUAUAUCCAUCUACCAUUUUCUGGAGACAUAUUAACAUAAUUUUAGUGAGUUUUGCAUUCAGGAACUACAUCUGCAGUUAUAUUUUGAAUAAAAAUAUCAGUUCUUUAUAUGAAUGGGAUUAAUCAGUGUAAUUAGUUAUAAUGUUAUUGCUUCAUUGGAUUUUUCUUAUCAUUAAUAUAAAACUUGUUGCAUUGUAAUCUGUUUAUCCAUUGCAGAAUGUUAAUGUUAAUUUUAUAUAUGAAAUAAAUAUCAGUGUGGUUUCAAAUAUUUGUAAUUAUAAGGUAAAAUACUGCCCAAGGUCCAUACUUUCCCUAAGAAAAUGGGGGGAGUAGAAAGAGGGAGAGUUCAAGGGUAGGGCAGAUAAAUUUGGUUGCUUCUCUCUGCUAGAAAUCCAGCUAGCCUUUAGGUAAAGAAGAGUAAAAGGAUACUUUUUGAAACAUUUGCAAGAAGAUACAGAAUCUAAGCCUCUGCCAUAUGGUCACAUUGUAAUAAUUAUGUACCAAAUGCUUGGGAAACUGUGUUAAAGGUAAUUGAGUAAAACAUGAAUAUAUGUCUAUCUUGAGCAUACAAGACAAGACUGUUCAAAUGACUACAUUAAAGAUAAAAGGAAGAUGAUUCCUUUUUUCUUUUUAGAUUUGUAUUAUAGGUAGGUAUCCCACUAAAGUAAAUUGCUUUAGUAUGGAAGGAUGUACAAAACCCAGUUUUUAAGCAUUAAGAAAAUAGAAAGUUUAUAUUUUAAACUUAAGUUAAAAGGAAUUAAAGUAUAUUAUGUGCAUAUUCAUGUAUUCAAUUGUAGAGAGCCAUUCUUUAAGAGUGAAUAUCUGAUUUUUUUUGGGGUAGUCUGUUCUAUACAGUAAAAAACCAAAAAACCAAACCAAAACGAUAACAACCCUUAACCGAAUCAAAACUAUGUAUCCAAGUAAGGGCAAGCCAAUGGGGGUUAAGUGAUUUGUUCAGAUCACACAGCUAGUCUGAGAUCAGAUUUGAACCGAGGAUUCUCCUCUCAGCCUGGCUCUCAAUCCAUUGAGUUAUCUAGUAGUUCCCCUUCCUAUGUAGUUUUUAGUCAUUAAAGCCCUCCGUUUUGAGGGUUUUUUUUUUUGUCAGUUUGAAGAGCUUCAAUUGCUUUUUUAUCUUACUUCAUAGAACAUUAUUUGCUAACAAAUAGAUAAUGGAGACAGAAGGAUAGCAUUCAUAUGCUAUUUUAAGAAAUUGUUGAGAAUUUUUAUUUCAAAUUCUUUCAUUCUUCACUUACUAAUGAGGAUACCAUUCCUUAAUUCAUUGAGUUUGGGCAUUUAUGUUAGGUAUUUAUUAAAUAAAUUAUUGCAUUAGCUUAGUAGGGGUGAGGAAAGGAAGCUCAGUGGGUAAAGGAACUAAGGUGGUAUAUUUAAGAAAGCAUUCUUCUUCUUUAAAAAAAAUGAGUUUUUGGCUAGAAAAAGCUUGAAAAGAUGCUGUGUUUGUUUUUAUUCCAAGAGGAGGUCCAGAAAGUUUUAUUGGUACAAUGAGAGCUUACUUGUCAGGUUGACAAUACUUUCUGCUCCUUUAGGCCAGCAUAUGCAUUAUCAAGUGUUGCAUACCAGGAUUCAGCCACUUAUAAGAAGCAGGCAGAUUUCCCCAUAUUCCUCUGAAACUUCAUGUGUCAUUAGACUAUAGCAAUCCCACUACUCAUUUAUUUUCUUUAACUGAUAGGAGACAGUAAGAGAAGUGAAAAACAAGGAGAUUGGGAGUGAAUCAAAGUACCAGAAAUAUUCAUCUUUCUCCCAGACUUAAUGAGACUACCUGGGGCUUGAUGGACUAGGCUUUUUAUAUUUUUGAACUUUAGCUUUUCUUUCUUAAGAUGUUUCUUUCUCACUUGUUGCUAGAUCCACAAAAGAAAACAUGAUGGUUUUAUGGAAACAACAAAAUUCAACAAGGAUUUAUUAAGCACUUGCUUAAAAUUGUCAGAGUUCUAUACAAAACUCUGAGGGACAUAUCAAUCCAUCAAUCAACCAAUCAAACAUUUAUUAAGUGCCUGUUAUGUGCUGGCCACUGUGCUAAGCUCUUGAAAUAAGAUGAAAGGCAAAUAUGUCUAUUUAUGUCAUCUCUGCCCUCAAGGAGCUCACAUUUUCAUGGAGACAUGCCAACAAAUACUUACAUACAAAGUAUAUAUAGAGUAAACUCAAGGAAGAUGGGGUAGGGUAAGGGAAAAGUUUUUUUUUUAAUUGAGAUUUGGGCUAGUGAUCUCAGCUCAGCAAUAGUGUCAGGCUUUCCCAAACCUAUUCCAAGAUGUCCUCAUCCCAAAGUUCAUGGUCACAGGAACUCAGCACAAGAGAGCUGCCUUAAGGUAUAGUUAAAAUAACUUAGCUCAGGAGAGCAGCCUUGAGUCAUUAUAGUCAAGUCCAUUGAAGAUAGUGGCUCUACAAAAAGUCUAGGUAAAGCUUUGGAGUAAGAAAUCUCCUAACCACAAGGACUAUAGUAGUGUUUGGAAGAAAUGAAACAUGAGAUACAGAAUGAAAAAACUCAGUAGGAAAAAGUGGCAAGGAAAUUUUAUAUGUUAAAAAAGAAAUUGGAAAACUUCACUCAAGAAUUGAAUGCUCUGACAAUUAGAAAGAGCCAAAUAGAAAAUAACUCAAUGAAACAAUAAGAAAUAUUCAAAUAAAAUCACAAAAUUAAAAAAAAGAAGAAAAUGUGAGAAAUCUAAAAAUUAGACUGGUAUGGAAAACAGAUUGAGGAGAGAUAACCUAUGAAUCAUUACCAGACCUUAUAAAGACUAUAAUUUUAAAAAAAGACUACAAUUUUUAAAAGUCUGGAUAUCAUUUCAAGAAAUUAUAAAACCUCACAAUUCUUAGAACUAUAGGGCAAAGUGAAAAUACAAUUAAAUUGUCACCUUUGAAAGAAACUACAAAAUUAAAAUUCCUGGGAAAUUCAUAGACAAUGUCCAGAGCUUCUAGGUAAGAGAAAAACAUUACAAAUAGUCAAAAAGAAGUCAUUCCAGUACCAGCGAAUCACAGUUAGGCUCACAUAAGUAGCUGUUACUUUUCUGGAAAUACAAUUGGAAUAUAAUUCUAAAAAACAAGAGAUAAAGGCUUACAACCAAGGAAAAUUUAUCUGGCAAAUAAAACAUAAUUUUAUGGGGCUGGGGAGUGGAAAAGAUUGGAUUUUCUUGGAAUAGAGAUUUUUUUUAGUAUUCUUGCUGAAAAAAACAAAACCGAGUAGACAUCUUCAAAUAAAAAUGGAGGCGCCAAGAGAAGUGUAGAAAGGUACAUAUAUUUGCUUAAUUGAAAAGGAAUAUAUAAGAAUUUGUUGUUUAUAUGUUAAUAAGAUGUAAAAGAAAUAUUUUUCUUAUGAUCCUAAUUUUAAGGGUAUUAGAGAAUUAUAAAAAUAACAGAAGGUUUAUGGGUGGGUUUAUUCUGUUUUAAUGAUUAUAGAAGUCAAAAUGGGAAAGAUGUGGGAUUGGACUAAGGAAUAAAGAGAAAGAAGGGGCAAAAGUCACUAUUCUUUAAAAGGGCUACUUUAAGUAUAGAGUGGGUAGAUAUGGAUGGAGUGGGGAGAACAGGCAGUUCAUGAACUUUACUUUCAUCUUAAAUAGAUAGAAGAAGAAUGAAUACAAUUAUAGACAUGCACACAAACAGAGAAAAAUUAAAUUAGAAAUGCAUCACAAUCAAAAGAGAAAUAAAUGACAAGGGUCAAGGACAAGGACAAGAGAGAGGCCAAAAAAGAGAGUAGAUAGGUGAGAAAAUGGACAUAAGCAGAACAAACUCAAAUACUGAAGGGAGAAAUGUGGUGAGAAAUUAAGAGAAAAAAAGGAAAAACCUGGGAUCAUAUGUAGGGAAAAGGGCCAAGGGGAACAUGAGAACUGCAAUAGAGAAGAAAUAGACUUACCAAUAGGAUCAUGAGAAUUAAGUAAACUCCACUUUUACCACCUUUUUUCUUUGUAAAGAGGGUGUGUGUGUGUGUGUGUGUGUGUGUGUGUGUGUGUGUGUGUGUGAAUAAAUAGAGGAGAAAGUACAAGAGGAUAAGGUAAAUCAAAACAUACAACUAACAGUCAUAACUGUGAAUGUGAUUGGGAUGAACUCACUCAUAAAAUGGAAAAUGGUAUUAGAAUAGAUUAGAAAACAGAAUCUGACAAUAUGUUGUUUAUAUGAAACAUAUUUCAAGACAAAGAUUCACAUUGUUCAAAUGCAUUGAGAACAAAAAAUGUAGGAGUAGCAUGUGUACUUUCAGAUUAAAGUUCCAGUCAAUGUAGAUAUGAUUUUAAAAAGAUGGAUACUCAAGGCAGUUGGUGAUACAACACUGGAGGUCAGAACAGACAAAAUAAAUCCAAAAGCAUUUGACAAAUGUUCCUCUGUUUGAGGAACUUACUUUCUAAUCAGGGAGACAACAUGUAAAUAAAUAUAAAACAAGUUGAUAUAAACAGAAUAAAUUUUAGAUGACUUGCUUAGGAUCACAUAGCUAAUAAGUGUCUGAGGCAGAAUUUGAACUCUUUGACUUCAGUUCCAUUGCUCCAUCCACUUUGGCAACUAGCUGCCUAUAGGAAGGAGUACCUAUAUUGAUGAAACCACAGGUUACUAAGGUAAAUACUGAUAGUGGUGGUUAAUGAUGGAGUCAGAAUGCUAAAUGUAGAAUCAGAAAAAACUGGUUUUGAACCCCACCUUUGACACUUAUUGGUUGUAUAGCUAUGGAAAUCACUUAAGUGAUCUGAAUUUCAGUUUCUUUAGCUGCAAAAGAGGGCUAAGCAUGGCAUGGGACUUAUCUCACAGGGUUGUUGUGAGGGGCAAAUAAGGUACAAAUGCUUUAUAAGCAUUAAAGACUUAGAGAAACGCCAACUAUGAUGAUGAUGAUAACACUGCUAAAGUUCUCAGUACUAUAGUAAAAAUAACAAAAUAUAGAUAGUAAAGACUGACAUUUUCAUAUUUUAGUAGUUAAGAUUUUAGAAAAGCUCAAGGUUAGUACUGACCCCAGGAGAGCUGGAGAUUCACUAAAACACUGGCCUGAAAACUAGUUGAUUUUUCAAGUUGAGCAACUCUGACUAACUCUAGACAGUUGGGUGAGAAAAGAGUUGGUUACUGCCACAAAUUAUCUGAAAGAAGUGGUAGAUUCAUUUGGUACAUGUGCUUCCAUCUAGUUGACAACAGAGAGAUUGCAAAGAACUGGAAGGGCCAGGGUCCCCCAGAUAAAGAAAAGGAUGACUUUUAGCACCACAGAUAGAAAUUGCAGAACAGUGAGGAGACUCAGAAAAGAUUUUCACAGAAAGUCAGUCAUCUAUUUGUAAACACAAAACUGAGUCCAAAGAUUGCCAGUUGCCAAGGACUGAAAGUCAGAGCUGCAUGGCUACAAUUUGGGGACACUAUGAUUUAGUCUGCUGUAGAACUGACUAAAAUAUGUUUUAAAAAGCAGUUAUCUUGGAUUUAUUGACUUUGUUUUGUUUUAAAGCCUUGCAAAACACCUCUCUCAGCAAACAAACUUUAUCAACAUUAAUUUUCAGAAUGAAAUGUUGGUGUUUUGUUCUUACUGGUUUUUUCCCCUCCUAUGUUAGUAUUAGAAAAUUAAAUGGCAAAUAAGAAAUGAUUCUUUCUAACCAUGUUGUAGGGUUGGAAAAUGCUGUGGUUGCUCAGUAACAUCUUGUAGUGGUUAUGGUGAUGCAAUUCAAGACUGGAGGGUAGUUUAUAAGUUAGUGGGAAAAACAUGGAAAUGUGUAUGCUUAUUUUUGAAUGUCAAGUCACAGUGACUUUUUCUUUCUUUUCCUCUAUCUCUUGGGUCAUCUAGGUUUUCCAGGCACAAGUUCCUUAAGUGAUUUCCUUUCUUCCUUAUUCCUACUUUUCCCUUUACUACCUUUUCUCAAAGAAUCAUAUUCCAAUAUCUAGCUGGUAAUGUUGAUUCUUUGGAUAUACCUUUCACAUAAAAUGUGAUUCAAGAUUUUGACACAUUUUGUCAGGGGAGAAAUGGAAAUGGUGCCAUUAUAUAUAUAUAUAUAUAUAACAGGAUUGUAAUUUACUCAGAUAUUAAUUUCAUUUGUACAGCACAAUCACAGGUUAUAUUUUUCUUGGCAGUUGGCAAGGUUGUUUCAAAGAUUUUGACCAUGAAUUAUUGGAAUAUAAGAAACUUCCAAGUGAGGCAGCAUAGAGUAGUUGAAAGGGUCAGGAUAACCUAGGUCCAUAAGCUUCAGUUUCUGACAAAUACAAGCUCUGUGACCCUCAUCAUGACAUUCAACCCUUAGUGACCUAGAUAAUUUUCAGAGUCUGUAAAGUACAGAGAAUUUUUUAAUUGGCAUCAGUGGAGAGCAUGUGCAUGUUCAGAAUUCUCUACACUGGUGAAAGACUGGUCUCUUAAGAAAAAGCGUUUUAAAAGUAUAUAAUAUCUCCUUGAUCUAGGUCUUAUGGGUAAUGAGACCACACCUAGAUUCUCUACUUGUAUAACCCUAAGGCAAGGCUAAUAUUUGGACAGAGAAUGAGAUUUAAUAGGAAGCUUUGAAGUUUUGAGAGGACCUUUCUGCUUGGCAUGAGACAGUCAUGGGAUUUGUGAAUGAUUAGUUGUGUGUCUGUUUAUUCUCAGUGCCACUGAGUAGGGAGGGCUCCUCAUUCUCCCCUUUGUCAUUUGAGCUUAUACUUCAGUUCAGGAAAUACUUUUUAAUGGGCAGAAUUGGACUGCCCAAGGAAGCACUUAGGCUUUUUGCAUACUGCUUGCUCUGUGCUCUUUGUUAACUGCAAGUAAGAUAUUGGAGAAUAUCUUACUAUUGUGGCUAUGAAAUAGCAUCUCAAAGUCAACAACAGAAGCUGCAUAAACUUAACUAAAGGUUCUUACAUAUUCCUAUCUCGAAUUUGCAGUGAGGUUACCUUUCAGUGAACUUGGUCCAUACUGUGAUGUGCUUUGACUUUUGAUUCUUGGUUGGAGUGUUAGAGUUCAGAGAAGGUUAAUGACAGGAGGAAGGAUUUGGGAAGGCAGGAAUACAGUCUAGAUUACAAAUAGGCUACAUAUUUGGAAUUCCUUGAGAUACAGUCUGCUAAUGGAUGCCUGCCAAUUGGCAUAGUGGCAUGAUUUGCCUUUCCUUUCUUUAAGCAAGAGAAAGCUCAUUCAGUAGAAAUGUCCCAGUGCAGAUCUCAACUUUUAUGACCUUAAAUGCAAUUUUGUGGUUCAACCUGUCGAGUACUCAAGAAAGAUCUCUGUAUCUUCAAUAGGUACUCUAUGUGUUUGUGGCUGUGGAGAAGAAGAAGAAAAAUAAAUAGAUACACAGUGUGUCUAUUGACCUUGAUGGGAAGCUUAAAUUUAAUGAGAGAGAUAGAAUCAGCAUGCCCUCAGUUAAAAACAAAACUUAAAAAAAACCCCAACAACCUACUAGAGUAUCUAAAAUGAAAGAAUAAACAAAUUCAAACUCUUGUAGGCAUAUAGGACUAUAUCUAUAACUGACUAGAGUAACCAAAAAUUAUCUCUGCUUAGGAAUUAUUGGAAAUAGAGAAAUCCUUAUUUUUUUGUGAAACAAAAACAAUUUAACGUAACCCAAAUUUCUCUUAAUCUAUGGCAACCAAUCAUUACUGAAAUUAAAAGGAUUUUUUGUAUAGCAAGACAAUCAAUUAAGAGAAACUACAGAUACAUUUUCUAGAGAAAUAAACUUCUUGUUUGUAUUUGCUAUUCUUUCAAACCCAUUAAAAUAGAUGUUUUAUCUGCUGGCAAAGUGUUAUUCUCCUUGUAAACACUAUAUAGUAAGCAUUUAGUGUAUUUUUAUACCAUUUUAACAUUUGGGGGCCUGAUAAGAAUAUAAUUUGAUUAUAUAACUAUAAAGAGAUCAGAUGACAAAUUUUUAAAAAGUAUUAUAAACAAUGUCCUCCCCAAAAUGAACAUUUUAUAUAUAAAAAGUAUAGAUUUUACAUGAAAUUAUGAAUCCCUUGUUCUUAUAGCUUGCUUUUUAAAGAAAAAGUAUAUGAUAAAUUUAAUAUUAUUCUCAAAGCUUUUCUGCCUACUUAUUUUUUUCUUUUCAUGUUCCUUCUGUUUCUUUUCUGUCCAUUUUAAAAAUGCUUCAACUUCUCUCUUUUGUUUCCUUUGUUUUUAAUAGUUGUCUAUAGCUUCCCUUUCCCAGUGCCCUCUUUGAGGGAAAAAAAGGGGGGGAUGAAUUGGCUUUGCAAUAACUCCAGUCAAAUAAAACAAAUCCACAUAUUGGUCAUAUCAAAAAUAUAUGCUUCAUUUUAUACCUCUGUCAGGAUGUAGGUAAUGUCAUCAGGGGUCAUCAAAAUCAUGAUUGAUCAUUGAAUUAGAGUUCUUAAGUCUAGCAAGAUAGUUUUUCUUUACUGUUAUUUUUAUUGUACAUACUUGUUCUAAUUCUGCUUGUUUCUGUAUCAGUUCAUGCAGGUCUUGUUUUUGUUUUUAUCACUUCUAACUGCACAAUAAUAUUCCAUUACACUUCUAUACUAUAAUUCGUUCAACCAUUCCACAAUUGAUAGGCAACUCACUUUGUUUAUAGGCCUUCAUUACACAAAAAGAGUUGGCAUAAAUAUUUUUGUACUCAUGGAUACUGUUUCUCUUUCUUUUAUCACUGAGGCAUAGUGGUAUCUGGGUCAAAAGUAUGUGUUUUUUUUUUCUAUAUUCAAUUACAAAUAAUGCCAUUAUAAAAUAUUUCAAAAAUCCUCCUGCCCUUCCUUAUGGUUUAUUUUCUGCUAAUACUUUCAGGGUAUCUACUCUUGGGUCAAAGGGCAUAAUUAUUUUUGAAAUUUUUACUUUAUUCUGUUAGAUUGUUUUCCAAAAAAAGGUGAUUCAUAGGAAUAUAUAUCUAGAGCUGGAAGCUGGCUCUGAGGCCAUCUCUUCCAAACCAAUAAUUUCAUAGAUGAGAAAAAUGAGACUCAAUGAUUUAUCUAAAGUCAUAGAAGUAACAUAUGUCAGAGAUAGGAUUGGAACUCGUGUCUCUUGAUUCCAGGUACAUUAUUCUUUUCACUAUGUCAUAGAACUUUUCAUUUUCUUUAAAUGUACUAAUGCUGUUUUAUUGCUUUUAACUACUUGUGCUAAUUUUUUAAACCCUUACCUUCCAUCUUAGAAUUGAUACUGGGUAUUAGUUCCAAGGCAGAACAGAGAGCAGUAAAGGCUAGGAAGUGGGGGUUAAGUGACUUGCCCAGGGUCACACAGCUAGAAGGUAUCGGAGGUCAAAUUUAAAUCUGGUACCUCCCAUCUCCAGGUCUGGCUCUCAAUCCACUGAGCCACAUAGCUGUUCCCUACUUGUGUUAAUUUGAUAUCUCUGAAACGAUGCUUCAUUUUCCAUCUCUUUGGUUAUGGCAAUUAAACAUUUUAAAUUGAUUUUUAAUAACUUUUAUUUCAUUGUUUGAAAACCUUCCAUUUGUCUAUUGGGGACUAGAAUUUAUCUUUGUAAAAUUUCAAAAGCUCCUUAUAUAUUUUAGAUGUCAAGUUUUUUUUUUUCUGUUAGGUUUGUCAUUAUUUCCUCAAUCUUUUAUUUUUAUAUUGUUUUAUUGUGUGUAUUUUUUAAUUUUAAUGUAAUCACACACAUCUCUCCUAAUCUUCAUAUCUCCUUUUAAUUGGUAAUAGAUCAAAGGUACUUUACCUUCUACAACUGAGAACAUUCAGUCAUUUCAUUUUCUGGUUCCUUUUUUGUUUGUCUUUCAUCUAAAUGGAAUCUACUGAAAUGUAUGUUAUGAAAUGAGAGUCUAAAUUCAUUUCUAGCCAAAUUAAUAAACAAUUUUCUCCAAUAAUCAUAAUAGCUGACAUUUAUAUAGGACAUGUGCCAGAUACUAUACCAAACACUUUAUAAUUGUUAUCUCAUUUAUUCUUCACUUUGGGAAACAUGUGCUAUUAUUACCCUCAUUUUACAGAUGGGGAAACUGAGGGAAACAGAGGUUAAGUGACUUGUUUACUACAGCAAGUAAGUAUCUGAAGUCAGGUCUGACACUAUCCACUGUUUCACCUCUUUUGUCUCAAGUAUAUUAGCUUAAAAAUCCUUUAUAUAAUUAAUUUUUAAAUAUUUUAUUAA